rnacentral:rRNA from 1 species
AUUGAACGCUGGCGGCAGGCCUAACACAUGCAAGUCGAACGGUAGCACAGAGAGCUUGCUCUCGGGUGACGAGUGGCGGACGGGUGAGUAAUGUCUGGGAAACUGCCCGAUGGAGGGGGAUAAGUACUGGAAACGGUAGCUAAUACCGCAUAACGUCGCAAGACCAAAGUGGGGGACCUUCGGGCCUCACACCAUCGGAUGUGCCCAGAUGGGAUUAGCUAGUAGGUGGGGUAAUGGCUCACCUAGGCGACGAUCCCGGACUGGGCGGAGAGGAUGACCAGCCACACUGGAACUGAGACACGGUCCAGACUCCUACGGGAGGCAGCAGUGGGGAAUAUUGCACAAUGGGCGCAAGCCUGAUGCAGCCAUGCCGCGUGUAUGAAGAAGGCCUUCGGGUUGUAAAGUACUUCCAGCGGGGAGGAAGGCGGUGAAGUUAAUAGCUUCACCGAUUGACGUUACCCGCAGAAGAAGCACCGGCCAACUCCGUGCCAGCAGCCGCCGUAA